UUUUGUGCAGUUGUACCUGGCCAACCAAGAGAAAUUUCACAAAGAAGCUCACAAACAAUACUUUAAAGCAAUUGCAGAGAUUAUACCCCGUGAGGUCCCUAAUAUUGAGAAGAGGCGAGGCAAGAAGGAAGAGGAGAAGAAGCCUUCGAUUUCAGUCAUCCAGGGCCCAAAGCCUGGGAAACCCACAGACCUGUCUAGAAUGCGCCAGCUUUUUCUCAAGCUGAAGCAGAACCCUCCACCACAUAUGCUACCUCCUCCUGAGAAAGACAAGGAUGGAAAGGAUGGAAAGGAUGGAAAGGAUGGAAAGGAUGGAAAGGAAAGCAAGGAUGCUAAGGAAGCAAACGAUAAGAAGGAUGGAAAGGAUGCCAAAAAUGAAAAGAUUUCCACACCAAAGGAAGCUAAGGAUGGAAAAAAUGAGAAAAUCGCAACACCA
rnacentral:lncRNA from 1 species